UACGUAGGGAGCAAGCGUUGUCCGGAAUCAUUGGGCGUAAAGCGCGCGUAGGUGGCCUCAUAAGUCCGCUGUGAAAGUCAAAGGCUCAACCUUUGAAAGCCGGUGGAUACUGUGAGGCUAGAGUACGGAAGAGGCGAGUGGAAUUCCUGGUGUAGCGGUGGAAUGCGCAGAUAUCAGGAGGAACACCGGUGGCGAAGGCGGCAUCCCUGGACCGGUAUUGACGCUGAGGCGCGAAAGCCAGGGGAGCAAACGGG
rnacentral:rRNA from 1 species